rnacentral:rRNA from 1 species
UUAAGCGACUAAGCGUACACGGUGGAUGCCCUGGCAGUCAGAGGCGAUGAAGGACGUGCUAAUCUGCGAUAAGCGUCGGUAAGGUGAUAUGAACCGUUAUAACCGGCGAUUUCCGAAUGGGGAAACCCAGUGUGUUUCGACACACUAUCAUUAACUGAAUCCAUAGGUUAAUGAGGCGAACCGGGGGAACUGAAACAUCUAAGUACCCCGAGGAAAAGAAAUCAACCGAGAUUCCCCCAGUAGCGGCGAGCGAACGGGGAGCAGCCCAGAGCCUGAAUCAGUGUGUGUGUUAGUGGAAGCGUCUGGAAAGGCGCGCGAUACAGGGUGACAGCCCCGUACACAAAAAUGCACAUGCUGUGAGCUCGAUGAGUAGGGCGGGACACGUGGUAUCCUGUCUGAAUAUGGGGGGACCAUCCUCCAAGGCUAAAUACUCCUGACUGACCGAUAGUGAACCAGUACCGUGAGGGAAAGGCGAAAAGAACCCCGGCGAGGGGAGUGAAAAAGAACCUGAAACCGUGUACGUACAAGCAGUGGGAGCACGCUUAGGCGUGUGACUGCGUACCUUUUGUAUAAUGGGUCAGCGACUUAUAUUCUGUAGCAAGGUUAACCGAAUAGGGGAGCCGAAGGGAAACCGAGUCUUAACUGGGCGUUAAGUUGCAGGGUAUAGACCCGAAACCCGGUGAUCUAGCCAUGGGCAGGUUGAAGGUUGGGUAACACUAACUGGAGGACCGAACCGACUAAUGUUGAAAAAUUAGCGGAUGACUUGUGGCUGGGGGUGAAAGGCCAAUCAAACCGGGAGAUAGCUGGUUCUCCCCGAAAGCUAUUUAGGUAGCGCCUCGUGAACUCAUCUCCGGGGGUAGAGCACUGUUUCGGCAAGGGGGUCAUCCCGACUUACCAACCCGAUGCAAACUGCGAAUACCGGAGAAUGUUAUCACGGGAGACACACGGCGGGUGCUAACGUCCGUCGUGAAGAGGGAAACAACCCAGACCGCCAGCUAAGGUCCCAAAGUCAUGGUUAAGUGGGAAACGAUGUGGGAAGGCCCAGACAGCCAGGAUGUUGGCUUAGAAGCAGCCAUCAUUUAAAGAAAGCGUAAUAGCUCACUGGUCGAGUCGGCCUGCGCGGAAGAUGUAACGGGGCUAAACCAUGCACCGAAGCUGCGGCAGCGACGCUGAUGCGUUGUUGGGUAGGGGAGCGUUCUGUAAGCCUGCGAAGGUGUGCUGUGAGGCAUGCUGGAGGUAUCAGAAGUGCGAAUGCUGACAUAAGUAACGAUAAAGCGGGUGAAAAGCCCGCUCGCCGGAAGACCAAGGGUUCCUGUCCAACGUUAAUCGGGGCAGGGUGAGUCGACCCCUAAGGCGAGGCCGAAAGGCGUAGUCGAUGGGAAACAGGUUAAUAUUCCUGUACUUGGUGUUACUGCGAAGGGGGGACGGAGAAGGCUAUGUUGGCCGGGCGACGGUUGUCCCGGUUUAAGCGUGUAGGCUGGUUUUCCAGGCAAAUCCGGAAAAUCAAGGCUGAGGCGUGAUGACGAGGCACUACGGUGCUGAAGCAACAAAUGCCCUGCUUCCAGGAAAAGCCUCUAAGCAUCAGGUAACAUCAAAUCGUACCCCAAACCGACACAGGUGGUCAGGUAGAGAAUACCAAGGCGCUUGAGAGAACUCGGGUGAAGGAACUAGGCAAAAUGGUGCCGUAACUUCGGGAGAAGGCACGCUGAUAUGUAGGUGAAGUCCCUCGCGGAUGGAGCUGAAAUCAGUCGAAGAUACCAGCUGGCUGCAACUGUUUAUUAAAAACACAGCACUGUGCAAACACGAAAGUGGACGUAUACGGUGUGACGCCUGCCCGGUGCCGGAAGGUUAAUUGAUGGGGUCAGCGCAAGCGAAGCUCUUGAUCGAAGCCCCGGUAAACGGCGGCCGUAACUAUAACGGUCCUAAGGUAGCGAAAUUCCUUGUCGGGUAAGUUCCGACCUGCACGAAUGGCGUAAUGAUGGCCAGGCUGUCUCCACCCGAGACUCAGUGAAAUUGAACUCGCUGUGAAGAUGCAGUGUACCCGCGGCAAGACGGAAAGACCCCGUGAACCUUUACUAUAGCUUGACACUGAACAUUGAGCCUUGAUGUGUAGGAUAGGUGGGAGGCUUUGAAGUGUGGACGCCAGUCUGCAUGGAGCCGACCUUGAAAUACCACCCUUUAAUGUUUGAUGUUCUAACGUUGACCCGUAAUCCGGGUUGCGGACAGUGUCUGGUGGGUAGUUUGACUGGGGCGGUCUCCUCCUAAAGAGUAACGGAGGAGCACGAAGGUUGGCUAAUCCUGGUCGGACAUCAGGAGGUUAGUGCAAUGGCAUAAGCCAGCUUGACUGCGAGCGUGACGGCGCGAGCAGGUGCGAAAGCAGGUCAUAGUGAUCCGGUGGUUCUGAAUGGAAGGGCCAUCGCUCAACGGAUAAAAGGUACUCCGGGGAUAACAGGCUGAUACCGCCCAAGAGUUCAUAUCGACGGCGGUGUUUGGCACCUCGAUGUCGGCUCAUCACAUCCUGGGGCUGAAGUAGGUCCCAAGGGUAUGGCUGUUCGCCAUUUAAAGUGGUACGCGAGCUGGGUUUAGAACGUCGUGAGACAGUUCGGUCCCUAUCUGCCGUGGGCGCUGGAGAACUGAGGGGGGCUGCUCCUAGUACGAGAGGACCGGAGUGGACGCAUCACUGGUGUUCGGGUUGUCAUGCCAAUGGCACUGCCCGGUAGCUAAAUGCGGAAGAGAUAAGUGCUGAAAGCAUCUAAGCACGAAACUUGCCCCGAGAUGAGUUCUCCCUGACUCCUUGAGAGUCCUGAAGGAACGUUGAAGACGACGACGUUGAUAGGCCGGGUGUGUAAGCGCAGCGAUGCGUUGAGCUAACCGGUACUAAUGAACCGUGAGGCUUAACCUU